GGCAUGUGGAGGCGUCGAAAGGCCGUCGCCGACGUUACUAUAUCCGAUGGGCUUUGGCUGCGACGAAGAUUGGGCGCGUCUGCGGUCUCCAAGGAGUUCGUAGGCACCGGGGAGACGCCUUCUUGUGAGGCCUUCCAUGCGUUCCUCGAAGUCUGCGAACGGAGGAACCAUCUCCACCGUCACCGCCACCGCCACCGCCACCGCCAUCAUCUUGCUGCUCCACAACGUUAGCUGCUUUGCGCCUGUCCUCGUCAUGUCGAAUUAGGAAAUACAUCUAUCACACAAGGGAAGAAUAGUAUACGAUAAAAUCUUUUAUGUUUCAUUCAAAGUUUUUUAUAAUUUUAAUAACACUGCAUGUUUCAUGAUCC